UCCAACUGCAGUGCACUUUUGUUCUUGUUCU
rnacentral:piRNA from 1 species